UACGUAGGGGGCGAGCGUUGUCCGGAAUUAUUGGGCGUAAAGAGCGUGUAGGCGGUUCGGUAAGUCUGCCGUGAAAACCUGGGGCUCAACCCUGGGCGUGCGGUGGAUACUGCCGGGCUAGAGGGUGGUAGAGGCGAGUGGAAUUCCCGGUGUAGCGGUGAAAUGCGUAGAGAUUGGGAAGAACACCGGUGGCGAAAGCGCUCUACUGGACUGCAACUGACACUCAGGGACGAAAGCUAGGGGAGCGAAUGGG
rnacentral:rRNA from 1 species